rnacentral:rRNA from 1 species
CAGCCGCCGCGGUAAUACGGAGGGUGCAAGCGUUAAUCGGAAUUACUGGGCGUAAAGCGCACGCAGGCGGUUUGUCAAGUCAGAUGUGAAAUCCCCGAGCUUAACUUGGGAACUGCAUUUGAAACUGGCAAGCUAGAGUCUUGUAGAGGGGGGUAGAAUUCCAGGUGUAGCGGUGAAAUGCGUAGAGAUCUGGAGGAAUACCGGUGGCGAAGGCGGCCCCCUGGACAAAGACUGACGCUCAGGUGCGAAAGCGUGGGGAGCAAACAGGAUUAGAUACCCCUGUAGUCCCUGUCUCUUAACC